UUUGUAAUGAAUCAAAAAUUGGUUACCCUAUUAGCUAUUCGGACCGAAUCGGAUAUAGUUGGCAUGCCAUAUGGUCAAAAUUGUAACGACCAGAAAGUCAGUGGUAUCAAAAGCGAUGGUUUUAGAACCCUAUUUUCGAUGUUUAAACUCGUAAAUAUUAGUGGUGAAAUGCGUAGAGAUCGGAAAGAACACCAACGGCGAAAGCACUUUGCUGGGCCGACACUAACACUGAGAGACAAAAGCUAAGGGAGCGAAUAGGAUUAGAUACCCUAGUAGUCCUAGCCAGAAACAAUGGAUACUAGGCGUUGUGUAUAUCGACCUGUGUAGUACUAUAGCUAACGCGUUAAGUAUCCAGCCUAGGGAGUAUGUUUGCAAGAAUGAAACGUAAAGGAAUUGACGGGGACCCACACAAGCGGUGGAGCAUGUGGUUUAAUUCGAUGCAAAGUGAAGAACCUUACUAGGGCUUGACAUGCCGCGAAUCCUCUUGAAAGAGAGGGGUGCCUACGGGAACGCGGACACAGGUGGUGUAUGGCUGUCGUUAGCUUGUUCCAUAAAGUGUUAGGUUAAGUCCUACAAUGAGUGCAACCCUCGUGUUUAGUUGCCACUGUUGAGUGUGGAACCCUUAGCAGACUAUUGGUGAUAAGUCAGAGGAAGGUGAGGAUGACAUCAAGUCAUCAUGCCCCUUACGACCUAGAGGACACAUGUGCUACAAUAGAUGGGACAAAGGGUCACAAUCCCGUGAGGGUGAGCUAACUUUAAAAGCCCGUCCUCAGUUCAGAUUGUAGGCUAUAACUUGCCUGUAUAAAGCUAGAAUCGCUAGUAAUCGUUGGUCAGCCAUACAACGGUGAAUUCGUUCCCAGGCCUUAUACAGACCGCCUGUCACACUAUGGGAGCUAGCCAUGCUCGAAGUCGUUACCUUAAUCGCAAGAAAAAAGGAUACCGAAAAUAGGGCUAGUGAUUGGAAUGAAGUCGUAACAAGGUAGUCGUACUGGAAGGUGCGGCUGGAUCACCUCCUUU
rnacentral:rRNA from 1 species